AUGCACACCUCAUGCACCAAUAGGAUUCGACCUACCUGGCAAACCACGCCCCCAUUAUUUCCUACAAAAGAGGAGCAUCCCUCAGCCUCAGCACCAUUCGGUCAAAACACUUCUUGGAGACACGUCACCUGGACAAGACGCAAGCUAGACCUCUACAAGAGAACUUCACCAACGAUGAACACUCCUGCUGAACGACCAGACCACAGCUCCAUGCUACAUCCUAGAGACACCUCACCUGCACCAAGACGCCAGCUGGUACUCCUACAUCACGGAACCCACCCUCCAGAGAAUCUACGCCAUUUUUGGCAUUUUUUCGACGGACCUUCAUAGACCCCCAGACCAUCGAGCCUCAACUACACAUAUACCCACACACACACCUCAUUUUUUCCGGUCCAAAAUAGGCAGAAAUGCGUCGUGGCUGGGCUACUGUUAUAUAAAUAUUCAUACACAUAGCUCAUAUAAACAAAGACAUUCCGUCGUAAGAACACAUACACCCAGCCAUAAGACUGACCCCCUCUUCCUUAUAUAAACACACAUCUCAUCUCCCUCUAACUGGCCGGUCCCAAGAGCAAAGAACUUUUGCUGUGCACCAAUGGGGCCCGCUCUGGCUAGAGAAAGGCCCGCCUCCAACCCUCCGACCAGUCAAGAAGACCGAAACGACAAGACUCCACCUACUUUAUUCUAUGUAUAAAAAUGUAUGUAACCAUUGUAUAGCUCUCUUUUUCACCUGGCUCCUUGCCGAGUUAUGUGAACUAGGUCCGUGCACGUAAAACUGCGGGACAAGAUAUCUCUGACUCAUUAAAACUGUCUUUUGUUACAACUGAAAUCCACUCUGUCCAGCGUCCGUGAUUUGGUCUCAACUCUCCAGUAUUUGAACACUAACAAAAUUUGUAGCAGAGUUUUGUUGUUCUUGAAUUCGAUCUAUUAUAAGUUAGUGUGAGAGGACGAGACUGAUCACGGCUAAAAAAAUCAGACGGAAGAGUGACUUCCCCAGCCAUUCAUCUUGCCUCAGGAAAUCUGAUCGGAGCGCUCUAUAUAAAGGUGAGCAGAGCCCGUUAUAUCGAAAUCUGCAUAUUGUAUUAUAGCCUAAACCAAAUUUUGAUCAGAAAGUACUGGGCGUGAGUAUGAAUCGGUGCCCAAAUUUUUUACAUAAGAACCUAAGACAUUGAUUAAAGAUAUCUUGUUUUGUAAAAAAAUAUAUAUAUAUAUUCUUAUUAAUGGGCCUAUACUCAGUUAUUUUAAUAGGAAUGUGUGAAUUGUGAUUGACCAAUGUGUUAAAUUCCUCCAGGGACCCUAUUUGUUCUGAAAUCUGCAUAGAAAACUGUCCUAAUUAUAUAUGUAUUGGGUUGUGUAUAGAGGUGACGUUAAAUAGUGGCUGUGUUUUAACACGUAAAGGACACAAUUAUGGAUGUUGGAAAUUCAAUGAGAAUUUCAUACGAAUGAAUGAAUUAUAGAUGAACCGAAUCUGCAAGUAAAAAUGUCCUAUUUUGAUAUGUUCUGUACUAUCGAAUAAGGUCUUGUGGAGGUGUGGUUAUAGAUGAACCGAAUCUGCAACUAAAAAUGUCCUAUUUUUGAUACGUUCUAUACUAUCGAAUAAGGUCUUGUGGAGAUGUGGUUAUAGUUGAAUUAUGGAUGAACCGGAUCUGUGUCACACCCUGGUCAAAGUAUUUUGUGUUUAUCUUUAUUUAUUUGGUCAGGCCAGGGUGUGGCAUGGGUUUUUGUAUGUGGUGUGUAUGUAUGGGGAUUGUAGCUAGUGGGGUGUUCUAGCUAAGUCUAUGGCUGUCUGAAGUGGUUCUCAAUCAGAGGCAGGUGUUUAUCGUUGUCUCUGAUUGGGAACCAUAUUUAGGCAGCCAUAUUCUUUGAGUUUGUCGUGGGUGAUUGUCCUUAGUGUCCUGAUGUCAUUGUUCUGUGUUAAGUUACACAAGUAUAGGCUGUUUCGGUUUUCGUUAAGUUUAUUGUUUUGAUAGUGUUUGUGUUU
rnacentral:lncRNA from 1 species